rnacentral:rRNA from 1 species
CAGCCGCCACGGGAAUACGUAGGUGGCAAGCGUUGUCCGGAAUUAUUGGGCGUAAAGCGCGCGCAGGUGGUUUAAUAAGUCUGAUGUGAAAGCCCACGGCUCAACCGUGGAGGGUCAUUGGAAACUGUUAAACUUGAGUGCAGGAGAGAAAAGUGGAAUUCCUAGUGUAGCGGUGAAAUGCGUAGAGAUUAGGAGGAACACCAGUGGCGAAGGCGACUCUCUGGUCUGUAACUGACGCUGAGGAGCGAAAGCGUGGGGAGCGAACAGGAUUAGAUACCCGCGUAGUCCCUGUCUCUUAUAC